rnacentral:rRNA from 1 species
UGCAGUCGAACGAUGAAGCUGGAGCUUGCUCCAGUGGAUUAGUGGCGACCUGGUGAGUAACACGUGAGCAAUCUGCCCUUGACUCUGGGAUAACUGCGGGAAACUGUAGCUAAUACCGGAUACGACACCUUGGGGCAUCCCAGGGUGUGGAAAGAAUUUCGGUCAAGGAUGAGCUCGCGGCCUAUCAGCUAGUUGGUGAGGUAAUGGCUCACCAAGGCGACGACGGGUAGCCGGCCUGAGAGGGUGACCGGCCACACUGGAACUGAGAUACGGUCCAGACUCCUACGGGAGGCAGCAGUGGGGAAUAUUGCACAAUGGGCGCAAGCCUGAUGCAGCAACGCCGCGUGAGGGAUGAAGGCCUUCGGGUUGUAAACCUCUUUUAGCAGGGAAGAAGCGAAAGUGACGGUACCUGCAGAAAAAGCACCGGCUAACUACGUGCCAGCAGCCGCGGUAAUACGUAGGGUGCAAGCGUUGUCCGGAAUUAUUGGGCGUAAAGAGCUCGUAGGCGGUUUGUCGCGUCUGCUGUGAAAAUCCAAGGCUCAACCUUGGACCUGCAGUGGGUACGGGCAGACUAGAGUGCGGUAGGGGAGAUGGGAAUUCCUGGUGUAGCGGUGGAAUGCGCAGAUAUCAGGAGGAACACCAAUGGCGAAGGCACAUCUCUGGGCCGUAACUGACGCUGAGGAGCGAAAGCGUGGGGAGCGAACAGGAUUAGAUACCCUGGUAGUCCACGCCGUAAACGGUGGGUGCUAGUUGUGGGCCACAUUCCACGUGGUCCGUGACGAAGUUAACACAUUAAGCACCCCGCCUGGGGAGUACGGUCGCAAGACUAAAACUCAAAGGAAUUGACGGGGGCCCGCACAAGCGGCGGAGCAUGCGGAUUAAUUCGA